rnacentral:tRNA from 1 species
GGGAUUGUGGCUCAGAGGUAGAGUGCUCACCUAGCAUGUGCGAGGCCCUGAGUUCAAUCCUCAGCACCACCU